CCUACGGGAGGCAGCAGUAGGGAAUCUUGGGCAAUGGACGAAAGUCUGAAGGAGCAACGCCGCGUGAGGGAUGAAGGUUUUCGGAUUGUAAAACUCUUUUGUUAGAGACGAACAUGGCGGUUAGUAACGGAUAAUCCCCGGCCGACAUCGUACCAGCAGCCGGGGUCAUACGGCGUGUGAACGCGUUCCGCGGAAUCACUGGGCGGAAAGUGGGCGGAGGCGGGUUCGCAAGUCAGAUGGGAAAUCCUCUGGCUUAACCGGAGAACGUAAUUUGAGCCUGGGCUUCUAGAGUUAGGGAGAGGUAGGUGGAAUUCCUGGUGUAGCGGUGAAAUGCGUAGAGAUCAAGAGGAACACUAAUGGCGAAGGCGACCUGCUAGACCAUAACUGACGCUGAGGCUCGAAAGCGUGGGGAGCAAACAGGAUUAGAUACCCGAGUAGUC
rnacentral:rRNA from 1 species